rnacentral:rRNA from 1 species
UACAGAGGGUGCAAGCGUUGUUCGGAAUUAUUGGGCGUAAAGGGCGCGUAGGCGGUGCGGUAAGUCUGUAGUGAAAUCUCUGGGCUCAACUCAGAGUCUGCUGCAGAAACUGCCGUGCUUGAGUGUGGGAGAGGUGAGUGGAAUUCCCGGUGUAGCGGUGAAAUGCGUAGAUAUCGGGAGGAGCACCUGUGGCGAAAGCGGCUCACUGGACCACAACUGACGCUGAUGCGCGAAAGCUAGGGGAGCAAACAGG